rnacentral:rRNA from 1 species
CACGUAGGGCGCAAGCGUUGUCCGGAAUUACUGGGCGUAAAGAGUUCGUAGGCGGUUUGUCGCGUCGUUUGUGAAAACCAGCAGCUCAACUGCUGGCUUGCAGGCGAUACGGGCAGACUUGAGUACUGCAGGGGAGACUGGAAUUCCUGGUGUAGCGGUGAAAUGCGCAGAUAUCAGGAGGAACACCGGUGGCGAAGGCGGGUCUCUGGGCAGUAACUGACGCUGAGGAACGAAAGCGUGGGUAGCGAACAGG